GAAUUGCGAUAAGUAAUGUGAAUUGCAGAAUUCAGUGAAUCAUCAAAUCUUUGAACGCACAUUGCGCUCCUUGGUAUUCCGGGGAGCAUGCCUGUUUGAGAAUCAAUAAAUCUCUCACCGCUGGUCGAUCUGUCUUGGUUUUUUCCUGGACAGAUUCCUGGUGGUGGAUUUGAGUCCUUUGCGACCUCGCGGCCACAAUGACUUUAAAUUCAAUGUCUGCAGCCUUUUUCCGCAUGGGGAUUCGCUUUUGAGUGCAUGAACUGUUUUAAUUAACCUAGACUUCACUCUUUCAAAGUGUUCCUGAUAUGAGGGAAAUGACAGUUUGACCCAACCAUUAUAUCCUUGCAAGAUCAAUUUUUUGUGAUCGCGCAUCGAAAACUUGGUCUCAAAUCAGGUAGGA
rnacentral:misc_RNA from 1 species